rnacentral:misc_RNA from 1 species
UUUCUCUUGGAGUUACUAAUCCCAGUGAUGUUGCUGCAAUUAAUAGCUUAUACUCUUCUCUGGGAAAUCCUGUACUGCCCGGGUGGGUUGCUUCAGGGGGAGACCCUUGUGGCGAAGGGUGGCAAGGUGUUGGAUGUGAGGUUUCAGGCAUAACUUCCAUAGUUCUCAAUGGAGCUAAUUUGGGAGGAGAACUUGGUAAUGACUUGGGCAUGUUUACUUCUAUCAGAUCAAUAGAUUUAAGCAAUAACCGCAUUGGGGGGAGCAUUCCAUCCAAUCUACCUGUUACUAUGCAAAACUUUUUUCUCUCAGCAAAUAAUUUCACUGGAAGCAUCCCGGAUUCAAUAUCCUCUCUGACUUUACUGACAGCCAUGUCUCUGAACAACAAUUUCUUAAGUGGAGAGAUACCAGAUUCCUUCCAGUCCC